AGUGAACGCUGGCGGUAGGCCUAACACAUGCAAGUCGAACGGCAGCACAGGAGAGCUUGCUCUCUGGGUGGCGAGUGGCGGAUGGGUGAGGAAUACAUCGGAAUCUACUUUUUCGUGGGGGAUAACGUAGGGAAACUUACGCUAAUACCGCAUACGACCUACGGGUGAAAGCAGGGGACCUUCGGGCCUUGCGCGAUUGAAUGAGCCGAUGUCGGAUUAGCUAGUUGGCGGGGUAAAGGCCCACCAAGGCGACGAUCCGUAGCUGGUCGGAGAGGAUGAUCAGCCACACUGGAACUGAGAACGGGUCCAGACUCCUACGGGAGGCAGCAGUGGGGAAUAUUGGACAAUGGGCGCAAGCCUGAUACAGCCAUACCGCGUGGGUGAAGAAGGCCUUCGGGUUGUAAAGCCCUUUUGUUGGGAAAGAAAUCCAGCUGGCUAAUACCCGGUUGGGAUGACGGUACCCGAAGAAUAAGCACCGGCUAACUUCGUACCAGCCGCCGCCGUAA
rnacentral:rRNA from 1 species